rnacentral:rRNA from 1 species
UACGUAGGGGGCAAGCGUUGUCCGGAAUCAUUGGGCGUAAAGAGCGCGUAGGCGGUCCGGUAAGUCCGCUGUGAAAGUCAAGGGCUCAACCCUUGAAUGCCGGUGGAUACUGUCGGGCUAGAGUCCGGAAGAGGCGAGUGGAAUUCCUGGUGUAGCGGUGAAAUGCGUAGAUAUCGGGAGGAACACCAGUGGCGAAGGCGACUACCUGGCCUGUUCUUGACGCUGAGGCGCGAAAGCUAGGGGAGCAAACGGG